CAGAAUGCCGGUUAAACUUGAAUUAUAGAUAAAUAAUAAGUAAUUGCUUAGUAUCUAUAUGUCCCCUGGAAUAUUUGGGACAUACUUAUACCAAAAACUUUCAUUGUCUAUCUGAAAGUCAAGUUUAACUGGCAUUCUGUA
rnacentral:miRNA from 1 species